rnacentral:miRNA from 10 species
AUAACAUGGGGAUCUUGUUGAAUGCAGAUUCUAAUUCAGGAGGUCCAGGGUGAGGCCUGAGAUUCUGUAUUUCUAACAAGUUCUCAGAUAAUGC